rnacentral:tRNA from 1 species
CGCGGGGUAGUUCAGCUGGCAGAACAGAGGACUCAUAAUCCUCAGGUCGUGGGUUCGACUCCCACCCCCGCAACCA